rnacentral:rRNA from 1 species
GCAUCGAUGAAGAACGCAGCGAAAUGCGAUACCUAGUGUGAAUUGCAGCCAUCGUGAAUCAUCGAGUUCUUGAACGCACAUUGCGCCCGCUGGUAUUCCGGCGGGCAUGCCUGUCUGAGCGUCGUUUCCUUCUUGGAGCGGUGCUUCAGACCUGGCGGGCUGUCUCUCGGGACGGCGCGCCCAAAGCGAGGGGCCUUCUGCGCGAACUAGACUGUGCGCGCGGGGCGGCCGGCGAACUUAUUACCAAGCUCGACCUCAGAUCAGGCAGGAGUACCCGCUGAACUUAAGCAUAUCAAUAAGCGGAGGA